GUGUGUGUGUGUGUGUGUGUGUGUGUGUGUAUACACUCCUGAAGCUCAGUGAAUCUGCAGAAGAAAAAAGGGGCAAAACAACGUCAGCUGUGAGUGAGGUUUUAUUUAUUUAUUUAUUUAUUUAUUUGUUUAUUAUAGCGCACCUGUUAUGGUUUUGAAACGCGCCUAAUUUUGUUUUAAAGGUCUCAUACGAUAGAUUCACAUGCAUCCGAGAUCAAAAAACACUUUAACGUGCUCACGAUUUAAAUCGCAGUGUUACCGAGUGUCACAAACGAUCCGUUCCAAACUCCUCCUUUCAGAGACCAUCCUCUGCUCUAAUUGGUCAGAUGUCCCAGUCCGUUGUGAUUGGUCUACCUCUGUCAGCGAGCAGCCGAUGAAGACCGGAGGCGGGGUUUAUUGUUAUAAUCCCACGUCGGUCAGUACAGGAAGUAAAGUCAUGGAAUCACUAACGAGUCGUUUCAGCUGUUCAGAAUCGAUUCCUUCUUUUGCGAGUCGACGACUCCGUCCGUCGUGCGCUUUGACUUUUGAGACUUUGCAGACGUUUUUACAUUCGCAAACGGCUCUAUAUACACACGACACGAAAGGGGAUAUCUGAAAAACCCAUAAUAGGUGCACUUUAAACGAUCGAAGCACCCUGCUGUAGUGAGUGAAUAUUGAAUAUUAAAUUCCUAAUUGCUGAAGAAAUAAGUGCAAGUAGCUGUAUGAAAGAAAGAAAUGGCCGAGCGAGUCACGGCUGUGAGUCGAGAGGGCACUCGCUCAGAAUUCUCCGGUGAUGUGUUACACACAGUGUGUUUAUCGAGACGACUUUCCACCCUCAAGUGGCUGAGAGUCUCUCAGCAGAGCAGAAAUGACUAAUUAUUUAACCUGCUGUGAAUAACGCUACGUUCCUUUUAACUCUGGCUGCUUGUGUGGUCAAUCGCAGCUCUUUUUUCUUCAGGUUUUAGGCUACUGGGGUCCGGCUGUAAUUCAGAAUGGUGGUGUGUUGGGAAAAGGCUCAACUUCAGAGCGGUGGCAGUAACUCUGAUUCAUGUCGGGACGCACCACGUGACAUCACAUGACACGGCGUCACCCUGUCGUUGAUUAUUUUCCUAUGACGGCGCAGUCUCAACUGGUUUCCUUACACGGUUGGGAGCGUGAAGCGUGUACUCCAUUCUACGCCCACAGUAAUGGCAUUUCCUUCUGUGGUGAGGAUGAAAAACCUUAUAACGGCUCCUACAACGUUUUCCAAACCUGUCCCGGCGCUACAAGGCUGAGUUUAAGAACCGGUGGUUCAGACAGUCCGGUGUCUCUUUAGUCCCCCGGAGCAGAUGUGUACCGGCAGAAUAUCGCGGCCAUUUGGCGCGUUUUCACCAGCUCAGCGGUGGGUCCUCACCACGUUGCCAAGUGUAAGAGAAGCGAACAGGAUGGGACAAGCAGAGAUGCAGUUCAGUCCCAGAUGAGCAGGGGAAGUGGUGUGUCGAUGGAUGGAUGGAUGGUCGCCGAUCGUCGUCACCUCUGUGCUGCGUUUCCGCUGCUGAUGAACCGUUCUGCUUCUCUUUAAACGUGUGCCAUCAGUCCUCCAUUCGAGUCGGGAAAAUCAGUCUUCAGAUGCAAGCCAUUAGCUCCGUUUCCUCUUCCUGUUUCAGGCUCGUCUUUUUCCUAGCGCUAAUCUCCUCUCCCUCUUCCCCUCCCAUGCCGUCUCUCGUUCUCCAUCAUUACUCCUCCCUCUGUCGCUCUCGUCACUCGUUUGUGGGAUUAGAAGAUUUCCGACAGCCCUCAUUAGCGCGUUUCUCCUUAAUAAUCCCUCCGCCUCAGCUCGCGUCCGCCGGCUCAGGAGACCGCACGUUCCGUUUAUCCUGUAUAAUACACACGCUUUGUUAACGCUCGUUUAAAACUCUUUAUCUUCUUGCGGAGGUUUGAAUUAUUGGAGGUGUUCCUUGGCGUCUUGUUGAAUCCCUAACACGCGGCAGUGAGGGGGUUCGUCUUUUUCUUUUCUUUUCUUUUCCUCUCUAAAAUUAUUCACGAGGUCCUUUAACGUUUAUGUCCACAGCGGCUUACGAGUCGAGCCGAAACGAAAGGAGCCGCUCUGAUGAGUCGCAUACAGAGAAACGGAUAAAGAACCAGCAGUUGCUUAAUUACAGAUGAUAUCAUUUUGAUAAAUACUAACAGUAUGUGGAUAAAUGCACACUAACAGCUGUAGGAUACUCUGAAUAAUCAAAAGGAAUGCGGUUUUUUAAACACACCCUUUCAACCGGCGGACAGGGAUUGGCUGCUUGGGUGUGGACUUAGCGGUCAAACAGUCAGAGAAACAUGUUUCAACAAAGACGUCAAAAUUAGCCGCGUUUUCUGACAAGAAAAAUACUUCCAGGUGACGUUGCAGAAUGUGGAGGACCUUUCUGGUUUAUAUUUAUCAUCAUCAUCAUCAAUACGAUCAGCCAACUACAGGACCGCCGCUUCCUAGCUACUUCCUUGCGUGCCAACAUGGUUUUUAGCUAGCGUUACAAUGCUUUACGCCUACAUCUUCCGUCGUUCGUACUUGUUUUCGUUAUCAGAUUAUAUCUCUCUCUCUCUUUUUUUUUUUUUAUACAUUGCCCGUCAAUGUUCAUGGGGAGUUCUCCAUAGGACCCCGGUCAAAACUCGACGGCCCCGCCUCGUCUGAAUCGUUGCUGCGCUCGACUGAAACGUCUAACUCGGAAUUUCCAGCCUCCGACUAGGAAAAAGCCAACAAAAAUAAUCUCGACUCGGAAUUCCUACCCGGAUAGUCGGAGACGGUCUCGUCAACCCCGAGUUCAGCAAGUGACGUCAAAUCGACAUGGCUGCUCACGGUAUCGGCGGUGCUCAAAGCAGCGCUGCUUUACUUUGAAAUGAGUUCUACUGUGUAUAUACAUUUACAUUUCUAUAUUUGCUUCAGAUUCAUCAACAUGCAGACAUGUUGGCUCGAUGAAACGUCGCUAGCGUUGUAGCAUCGAGGGUUGAGUUCGCUGUUCUGAGGAGAUGGAGGGUUUAAGCAGGAGAUUUGUCGAUGUUGUGCAUUACACAACAGGAUCUUUGCAGGAAGAUAGCCAAGGCCGAGAUUAAAAUGUAAAUAAAUAAUAAGAAAAAACGUUUCCAUGUUGUUUUGGUGAAAUAUGUUGAGGUGUCAAAGUAUUUUGGCUAAAACAUGAUUUUUGGGG
ensembl:lncRNA